CUGCCACAACGGCUUCCUGGCGUGGCGGGAAUUCAUCAACGGAGCA
rnacentral:ncRNA from 1 species